UGGACCUCAGCCCACCAUAUGGACAAAUACCCUGCAGAUCAGUAUGAAGCCUCCAGAGGUGACAUCAAAAUGACCCAGUCUCCAGUCACCUUGUCAGUGAUUCGAGGAGAUAGAGUCACUAUUUCCUGCAGGGCCAGCCAGGGUAUUGGCACAAACCUCAACUGGCAUCAGCAAAAAUCACAUGAAUCUCCAAGGAUUCUUAUCAAAUAUGCUUCCCAGUCAAUCUCUGGGAUCCCCUCCAGGUUUAGUGGCAGUGGAUCAGGGACAGAUUUCACUCUCAGCAUCAACAGUGUGGAGCCUGAAGAUGUUGGAAUUUAUUACUGUCAACAGAGUGACAACUGGCCACCCACAGUGAUACAGACCAUAGCAAAAACCACAAGGAAAGGAGAGAUGUGA